GACGAACGCUGGCGGCGUGCCUAAUACAUGCAAGUCGAGCGGACCGGAUUGGGGCUUGCCUUGAUUCGGUCAGCGGCGGACGGGUGAGUAACACGUGGGCAACCUGCCCGCAAGACCGGGAUAACUCCGGGAAACCGGAGCUAAUACCGGAUAACACCGAAGACCGCAUGGUCUUCGGUUGAAAGGCGGCCUUUGGGCUGUCACUUGCGGAUGGGCCCGCGGCGCAUUAGCUAGUUGGUGAGGUAACGGCUCACCAAGGCGACGUUGCGUAGCCGGCCUGAGAGGGUGACCGGCCACACUGGGACUGAGACACGGCCCAGACUCCUACGGGAGGCAGCAGUAGGGAAUCUUCCGCAAUGGGCGAAAGCCUGACGGAGCGACGCCGCGUGAGCGAAGAAGGCCUUCGGGUCGUAAAGCUCUGUUGUGAGGGACGAAGGAGCGUCGUUCGAAGAGGGCGGCGCGGUGACGGUACCUCACGAGAAAGCCCCGGCUAACUACGUG
rnacentral:rRNA from 1 species